GAGGUCUCCCAUCCCCCCCGACAGCCGCAGGAGUUCAGUGGGAAGAGAUAUUAAAGAAUUCCCACCUCUUUUUGACACUGCGCCCAUCUCUCCAGGGCUUUCACCCCCUAAAAACCAAGAGGCUGAUGAUGAAGAUCAUGAGUAUGACGAAUAUUCUAACUAUGCUAAUGACGACAAGGCUACACCACC